GUUUGGCACGUAAAAUAUCAAAUUGCGUAGGUCCUCCGCCAACUUGCAUAUAAUGGAAAACGUGUGCGCCUAGAAAGAAAGAUACAACACCCCAAGGUCAAAAUUGUCCAUCCGCCGCCACAAGCAAAUUUCUUUUGAUGAUGUUAACAGGUCGGCCUUGCGUAGGAAGUAGGAACAAUAUAUGGUCGGCAAGAAAGAUCAACCCAUGAAGUUAAACCAACAACUCUCCUCAAAUUUCCAAGAAAUUUCAUAUUCCUGUAAAUAGAAUUCGAGAAAUGGGAUAACCACCGACUCUGUCGUAGAAGUGGAAUAGCAUACAGUUGGGCCGGUCCACACCAGGCAAAUACAACAGCAGCCGAAAGACCCAAAUUAUGUACUGGAUAAAGAACCAGCAGGCCGAUGUAUGAAGCUCAGCGGUCAAGACCCUGAACUCUUUAAGGUGUGUCGAUGCUUGUGUUCUUGAAGUUACCACUGACAUCACAAUAGUCCUGCUUCGAAUAGAUUUCGCCUUCUCAAAGUCUCAUCUACCAG